rnacentral:rRNA from 1 species
GUAGUCAUAUGCUUGUCUCAAAGAUUAAGCCAUGCAUGUCUAAGUAUAAGCAAUUAUACAGCGAAACUGCGAAUGGCUCAUUAUAUAAGUUAUCGUUUAUUUGAUAGUACCUUACUACUUGGAUAACCGUGGUAAUUCUAGAGCUAAUACAUGCUAAAAAUCCCGACUUCAGGAAGGGGUGUAUUUAUUAGAUAAAAAACCAACGCCCUUCGGGGCUCCUUGGUGAAUCAUAAUAACUUAACGAAUCGCAUGGCCUUGCGCCGGCGAUGGUUCAUUCAAAUUUCUGCCCUAUCAACUUUCGAUGGUAGGAUAGUGGCCUACCAUGGUGGCAACGGGUAACGGGGAAUUAGGGUUCGAUUCCGGAGAGGGAGCCUGAGAAACGGCUACCACAUCCAAGGAAGGCAGCAGGCGCGCAAAUUACCCAAUCCCGAUACGGGGAGGUAGUGACAAUAAAUACUGAUACGGGGCUCUUUCGGGUCUCGUAAUUGGAAUGAGAACAAUUUAAAUCCCUUAACGAGGAACAAUUGGAGGAAGCC